ACCAGACUCCUACGGGAGGCAGCAGUGGGGAAUAUUGGGCAAUGGGCGCAAGCCUGACCCAGCAACGCCGCGUGAAGGAAGAAGGGUUUCGGCUCGUAAACUUCUAUCAACAGGGACGAAAGAAAUGACGGUACCUGAAUAAGAAGCCCCGGCUAACUACGUGCCAGCAGCCGCGGUAAUACGUAGGGGGCAAGCGUUAUCCGGAUUCACUGGGUGUAAAGGGAGCGUAGACGGCCAAGCAAGCCAGGGGUGAAAGCCCGGGGCCCAACCCCGGGACUGCCCUUGGAACUGCUUGGCUGGAGUGCGGGAGGGGCAGGCGGAAUUCCUGGUGUAGCGGUGAAAUGCGUAGAUAUCAGGAGGAACACCGGCGGCGAAGGCGGCCUGCUGGACCGCUACUGACGUUGAGGCUCGAAAGCGUGGGGAGCGAACAGGAUUAGAUACCCGGGUAA
rnacentral:rRNA from 1 species